CUCGCGGUUCGUGCGGCCGCGCCAUCGUGGGAGCCCGUGCGCGGCGCUGGAGGCGAGUGGCGCGGCGGGGGGCGGCCUCGGCGGGCGGUGUCCCGGCGGGCAGGUGCUUUGGCUCCCCCGGCCCGCGAGGGCAUGAGCUUAACGUUACCCCCCCCCAACCCAAGCUUAGGUUGGUCAUGCGGUGUGUGCGUUACCCUCGUUAAGUUUUUUUUUUCUCAGUGUAAAAUGGCUUUGCUGGGAAAUGUGUAAAUUUGGCUGAUACUUUUUCCCCUCAGUUCUUCCUCGUCCUYCCAGGUUUUAGCCUUGGUGUUUAAAGUAACCCGUUCCCUACUGCUGCUUCAAUUUAAUGGUGAUAGUGACUGYAUAUCACUCUUCCUGGCUGUGGUCACAGUACCAUUAAAUGCUAUAUCCACUUACAGGGAAAAAAAUCAUAACCCCUGGCAGCUUCUUACACUUUGCUUAUGUGUUGCACCUGGUUCUUGUUGUAUUUUUAUAUUUGCAUAUGUUGUAAUUUUCCUACUCUCCCUGUGCAGUGGGUUGAUUGCAGUGCUGUAGCAAAAGUGUUACCUCCCUUCUCUGCUCUGGUUUCUGCUGAACUGUGGAAGGACACRGUAACAGAAAUGAACUUACGAGCUUACGUGGAGUACAUUGAAGAACUGGGAGGAGAAUGUAAAUCAGAGGUUGUAUUGGAAGUUCUCGGAGUUUGAUUCAAAUCUUGAAAUAGUCGCAAUGUAAAGGACCUGAGAGGUACUUGGAACUGGCUGUGGGAGGCUCUCUCCUGUCUCAGACCCUGCAGUGACCUUACUGUGCAAAAUGCAGUCUUGAUCUUGCCCUUCUCAUGGUAACAUCCGAGUGAGAAAGGAAUAACUGAGAAUGCAGGUCCCCUCCCAGCUCCAYGGGGCAAGCAAGCAGGCAGGCCAUUUUCACAUGCUACCCCAUGCCGCUGCUCUCCUCACCUCACUGAAAACUCUGCGUUUGCUCUUUGCUUAGAUCUAUCUCUGUCUGCCAUUUCCGGGAUUCUGUUGCAUAGUGUUGGAAACACCAUGUGUAGCACCCUGAAACUUUCACAGUUGUCUGUGAAGGACAGUGAAAAGGGCCUUUUGUUUGCAAAAGGGAUCUAGAACAAGGAAUUUAAAUAUUUGGUUAAAUAGCACUUCUAGCAUCUUUAGGAUCAGAUUGCAGCUGGCAAAUGUUCUAGACUUGCUAACAGAAUAUUGCGUCUGCAUUUCACUGCUUAGAAAUGGGAAGAUUUGUGUUCUGAAGGGAGUUGGGAGGAUUCACUUCCUCGCUGGCUGAGUGCCACAGCGCAGUAGCUACUACAGGAGUGCCCUGGAUCAGCACAGUGUGAGAUCGUGCCUGGGCUCAUCUAGAAGUGACUUGUCCAAAAGGUAGGACCAAGGUCAGGCUAGUUUGGGCUGCCCUAAUGAGAACCCAGGAACUGACUCCCUGCAGAUGCAUCAUCGGGGACCUCCUGUCUAUAAUCGGUGUGAUCCUUUUCCUUUGGUAAUGGGGUGAAAUAACAGCCUCAUGUUUGCUGUAAAAAGCUGAUUCCUGUUCUAGGCCAUCAGAGCUGAGAAGCAUAAAUUUAUCUCCCUAGAGAAAGAGAUACAAGAUAACUAUGAGUAAUUCUGCAGCACUUUUUUUUUUUUUUUUUUUUUUUUUUUUUUUUAUGAAUGAAGGCUAGAUGGGCAAGCUGAAGCAGGUAAUUCUAUUUUCAGCUUAGUUGGACUUUCUGAUCCAAUUGACUUUCUCCUAUAAGUAGUGCAAAAAAAGGGGGGGAAAUGUGACCACUACCACACAAUGUUUCCUACAGCAUCUUCUUAGUGGGAAGAUAAUAAGAAAAGAAGAAGUUUUAACAGACAACAGGAAGAUGAUAUGUAGCAGUUUAUGCUUUCAAAGUGCCAGUGGUGACUGAUUACAUUCUUAUGCUACAUCUGUAAUUUUUUUGAAGAGGGUGAUACUGUGUUAGUCCUAAUAUUCUUUAUGAAAGACUUUAAUCUUUUACAUCAAUCUCUGAAGGAUUGUUAUUAGCAUUCAAAGCAGAGGGAAAAAAAUGACUAGAGGUAAAAGCACAUGAUACCUGAUUCUUACUUGAGCUCUGACAGUGUAAUAAUCCCAAUACGGAGAGCAGGAGCAACAAAGGCAGGUUGUUUAACUUCGUUUACUUCUUGGAAGUAUUUUAUGAAGGAGGAAGAGCUAUGUGAUGCAUAGCCAAGAACAGAGGAAACUCUGUCAUGGCUAUGUAGGAAAUAAAGUGUAAAUCCUUUUAUGUUUGUGUGAUAUU
ensembl:lncRNA